GAUGAACGCUGGCGGCGUGCUUAACACAUGCAAGUCGAACGGUGAACACGGAGCUUGCUCUGUGGGAUCAGUGGCGAACGGGUGAGUAACACGUGAGCAACCUGCCCCUGACUCUGGGAUAAGCGCUGGAAACGGCGUCUAAUACUGGAUAUGUGACGUGACCGCAUGGUCUGCGUUUGGAAAGAUUUUUCGGUUGGGGAUGGGCUCGCGGCCUAUCAGCUUGUUGGUGAGGUAAUGGCUCACCAAGGCGUCGACGGGUAGCCGGCCUGAGAGGGUGACCGGCCACACUGGGACUGAGACACGGCCCAGACUCCUACGGGAGGCAGCAGUGGGGAAUAUUGCACAAUGGGCGGAAGCCUGAUGCAGCAACGCCGCGUGAGGGAUGACGGCCUUCGGGUUGUAAACCUCUUUUAGCAGGGAAGAAGCGAAAGUGACGGUACCUGCA
rnacentral:rRNA from 1 species